rnacentral:rRNA from 1 species
GACGAACCUUGCUAACGUUAUUCGGAAUUACUGGGCUUAAAGGGUGCGUAGGCGGUGCAGCAAGUCGGGUGUGAAAUCCCUCAGCUCAACUGAGGAAUUGCGCCCGAAACUGCUGUGCUAGAGGAAGAUAGAGGUACGCGGAACUUAGGGUGGAGCGGUGAAAUGCGUUGAUAUCCUAAGGAACGACCGGUGGCGAAAGCGGCGUACUGGUCUUAUCUGACGCUGAGGCACGAAAGCUAGGGAGCGAACGGG